rnacentral:rRNA from 1 species
UACGAGGGGGGCAAGCGUUGUUCGGAAUUAUUGGGCGUAAAGGGUGCGUAGGCGGUUUCGCAAGUCUUAUGUGAAAUCUAUGGGCUCAACCCAUAGUCUGCAUAGGAAACUGCGAGGCUUGAGGAUGGGAGAGAUGAGUGGAAUUUCCGGUGUAGCGGUGAAAUGCGUAGAUAUCGGAAGGAACACCUGUGGCGAAAGCGGCACGCUGGAUCUCUACUGACGCUGAGGCGCGAAAGCCAGGGGAGCAAACGGG